UUGUAGCUACGUGUUUCCAGAAGAGAGCCAAAAUUAGUGGGUGUACAUGUACAUAUGUACACCCAUUUUCUAUCGUGCCUCCGCCCAUGUUGCUUAUCACAGUGCAAACAUCACCGAAGGAGAAGCUCCAUAACUGCAAUUGUCAAAGCUCCAUCACCGAAGGAGAAAAAACACUACAAACACCAGAAUCAUCCCAGUACAACGAGUUCUAUAACUAGCAAAUGGUACCUGUCAACAAAGGUUCCUAACAGCACUUGUCAAAGCUCCAUAAGAAAAAACUACAAACGGCCAAAUCAUCCCAAACACUGAAAAAAAUAGCGCGCUAUAGCGUGUAGAGGGGGCCUAAUAGCGUGCUAUAACACCCUAAUAGGGUAUUUUCAGGGGCGACACUAUUUUUUUCCUUGAUCCCAGUACAUCCAAUUUUAACUAGCACAUGGUAUCUGUCAACAAACAAAACCAGUAUCCUGACCAGCAGCUAAGAAAACACGGCAAAUCAGACAGAAUCAGGCAGCACCAGCAUGAUAGGCCACAAGCAACGUGAUCACAGACAAAAGCGCCACGCAAUGCAAAUUACAGGUUUCGAAGCAUUCAGCAGCUGGCUUCUUCUUCACCAAAAUAUAAACAGGGCACUGCAACAUCACCCUAAACCAUCAACCCAACAUUAUCCCCAUACUGCCAGCACCAAAGGUUACCGACAUAAAACCCCAGCAUAAGAGAAGUGCCUGUCUCUACAUGGCGCGCCCAUUUGAUCUUCGCAAAUUCAUGUCACGAUCACAGGAUUCAAAUCUAUUUAUCUUUUCUAAGAUGAAGAAACGAUAAAUCAUAUUUUUUAUAAAUUCAAAUGUCACCCAACUCGUCAAAGGCUUUGCCAUACCUCAAAGAAAUAAGAAGAAAAUCACAUCUGGGGUGUAGCAAGAUACCAGUACUCCCUCCUAAUGACUGAUUCAUUGUCAUUAGUCCCAAAUGGCUAGUAUGAGGAAUUGUCAUUCAGGUAUUCAAGAAAAACAUAUUAGUAUGUUCUAGAAAAACAAACAAAAACAUAUUAGUGCUCCGUCACCACAGCCCUAUGGGCCAACUACUACAGUCCAACGGCACAAGAUCAUAAGCUGCAUGUGUUGGCCCAGAAAAGAAAACAGAAUAGAGUUCAAGGUUUGGCGUUUCAUCUGUUUACCAACCUCCUCAGCAUAGCUAUAGAGAUGCAGAUUGAAAAAUCAGAAAAGGGAGAGAAAAUACUUCCAAGCAACCUACAUAUAACCUUCUCAAUGUAACUCCACCGAAAUGAUUCAUGUCUGAAUAAAGUACAAACGUUAGACAUACUACAGAUUACAAGGUGAAACUUUACGUAUACAAACAGAUCAACAGAACUCGCAUACUGGUCAUUCUAGUGACAAACAUGGGAUGACUCUUCUCCUGGAUUUAUAAGUCUUUUUGAGAUGCAUAUUUUUUAUCUAAUACGAUAGCACCAUGGGACAUAACAUCAGCAGAGACAUAGAAGCUUGAGAACUUAACCUGACACGACAUGGGACAUAAACACAGUACUGGAAAGAGGCGCACACACAACUGACAGGUGAGCUUGCAUUGCAUCAACGUGCUUGCUUGGAAGGCAUAAAAAACCCACAAGAGUGACCGACAUGGCCAACACUAGCCAUUAAUCCAAGCAGUUCACUGUGUCCUCAUACAGAGCUUGGAUAACGGACGGUAUGUUGCAAACUAAGCGAUUAGUUCCUACAAAUCAUACUUCACAACUGACCAGUACAGAGGGCCAAUUUCUGAGUGGGGCACAAUCACAGACCCCGUGCACAGCAUACAAAAUGGAAGAACCUACAGCACACAACCCAUUUCUGCAUCUUUAGCCAACCAGAACUUAAUCCUAGAUACCUGCAGAGCAACAAAUUUCAUCAGUCAAACCAAAUUGCACAAUUUAUUCCUGGAAAAGCCGUUAAAUUUAUGCAUCAGGAUGGCUCAAACAGUAAACAUCAACUUCACUACUACUGUGGAAAUUGUGCUAGAAUUUCAAAAACUGGAUUGUCUCGGCACUGUUGGAAAAAACCAACAUUAGAAACAGAGAACAGCUACAGGAGAGCAAUUAAUUUUAUAUUUUUACUACUACAUCUUCAACUCUUAAAGUGGUCGGACCCUUCCCCAGACCCUGCGCAAGCGGGAGCUACAUGCACUGGGGCUGCCCUUUACAUCUUCAACUCUUAAGAUGAUUAUCUAGUACUCUGGCCUAACUAGACGCUAAAAUAUUAGUAGUUGAGACUUAUUCGCCCGAGGCGGUGGGGGUUGGAUGCGGUGGACCAGCUGGUUUGGUAUGUGCGUGGAAGACGAUGCCAGGCGAAAGUCUGCCUCCGACUAUGAUCGGAGCCGGCAGCAGCGGCGUCCGCGGGCGUCGCAUCCUUCUGAAGGUGCUGCUGUGGUGAAGUGCUCCUCUCCCUUACCGUCCCCUGCUCCGAGGGAAACCUCAGAUCCGUGCUCUACCAGAUCGGAUGAUGGCGGUGCAUUGCGUCGUUCCCUUCUUGAGGGCAUCAUUUUUGGAAUAGGGAUCAGCCGGAGAGACCAGUGGUGGUGGUGGUGAAGCGACUGACUUGGAGUCGAUGGUGGUUGUUCGGUGCUGUUCUUUGGGGUUUGGUGGCGGUGCCUUCGGCACCCCAAGGCGGCCAUUUGUUUCCCCCUCGUGUUAGGUGUCUCGCGAUGCUUGCUCAAGACCCUCCCAUGGUGGCCGAUGUGUUGCAGCGAGCGUCAUGCUCUCGGUGAUGUCUUGGUUCAUCUUUGCCCUUUGAUGGCGCAAAGUGCCUCCCCAAUUUGCUAAUCGUUCCGAUCUUCCGCUGCGGGGCUCCCAGUCAAGGUUCGUGUUUUACACUUGUUGAUUGUGGAUGCUCCUGAGUUGUGCCGUGGGGCUCGGUAUGCACGCAAUGCGGUGCGUUAGGUUGCUCGCAAAGUCUAGGUAUUGCGAUCCCUUACAACACCCCACAUCUACUUGCGUCUCUCGUGGUGUUGUUCUUUCUGCAUGCUAGCUAGGUCGUUCCAUCUCCUUGGCGUCAAUUUUUCUUCUUCUUCUGUAACCUUGUUACUUGUACGGUUUUCGGCCCGGUUUCCCUCAUAAACGGGGUCAGCUUGUUUAGGUUUUCGACCCAGUUUCCCUUAUAAACUGGAUCAGCCAAAGCUAAGGGGCGACUCUUGGCUUUGGCAGCUUUUUGAGCAAUAUAUUCAGGUGGGGAGCCUCCCCCCCCCCCCCGGUGACCGUUCAAAAAAAAUUAGUAGUUCAAAUAACUCUAUUAUGAGAUACCGAACAUCCUAGCUGAUCAGUUAUCUGAGCUAGAGGGAGAAGAAACUGCGCUAACAGAAGGAACCAGGUGAGUACUAAGGAGGAGGUAACUCAAAGCAAGACAGCUAAAUGUAAGGAAAAGGCAAGAGAAAGAGCACAUCCAAUAGUGAGGGGGUAGAACAUCUGCAAAUAAUAUAUAGAGAAGGUAGGUGGGCGAAGGCAUGAGAAGGUAAUGCUGAUGAAGGUAUCAAGGGAUGAGGAAGCAAGGCCUGGAGAAAAGAUCGAAGCUGCAGCUUGCCAUGAAAGCGUGAUACGAGGUGGGCAGGUGGGAAACAGCUAAGCAAAGAAUUGUUGACAAAAUCUUAGUCCUACUCCUAUCUUGUAAUCUGGUACUUGAGAAAUGGCGGCAAAAGGAAAACAAUACACUAAAAAAACAGUUCAGAUACCUCAAGAUACAUGCAUAAGAUAUGCUUACCUGCUCAACCAGUACAUCACGACAGCAUAUUUAACCAGAUAACCAUCUUAUGUAUUGUGCAAAAGAUCAGUUCCAUCACGUCCACCACGAAUGUCUGUUUCUGGAAGCAUAAGAAGGCAAAACAACCAAUGCCAUUCCAACAAAAAGCCAAAUGGAUACGAGGAGGCAUGAG
rnacentral:lncRNA from 1 species